rnacentral:sRNA from 12 species
CAACUCCGAAUAUGGGCGGAUAAGCCGAAAGGCUCUCCGACGCUGCUGUUAUGCGUGGUUAGCCCUGUGUUCGGAGUUUUU